rnacentral:rRNA from 1 species
AGAACGAACGCUGGCGGCAGGCUUAACACAUGCAAGUCGAGCGCCCCGCAAGGGGAGCGGCAGACGGGUGAGUAACGCGUGGGAAUCUACCCAGUGGUACGGGACAACCCAGGGAAACUUGGGCUAAUACCGUAUAAGUCCUUCGGGAGAAGAUUUAUCGCCAUUGGAUGAGCCCGCGUCGGAUUAGCUAGUUGGUGGGGUAACGGCCUACCAAGGCGACGAUCCGUAGCUGGUCUGAGAGGAUGAUCAGCCACACUGGGACUGAGACACGGCCCAGACUCCUACGGGAGGCAGCAGUGGGGAAUAUUGGACAAUGGGCGCAAGCCUGAUCCAGCCAUGCCGCGUGAGUGAUGAAGGCCUUAGGGUUGUAAAGCUCUUUCGGGCGGGGAAGAUAAUGACGGUACCCGCAGAAGAAGCCCCGGCUAACUUCGUGCCAGCAGCCGC